rnacentral:rRNA from 1 species
UACGGGGGGGGCAAGCGUUGUUCGGAAUUACUGGGCGUAAAGGGCUCGUAGGCGGCCAACUAAGUCGGAUGUGAAAUCCCCAGGCUCAACUUGGGAACUGCAUCCGAUACUGGAUGGCUUGAGUUCGGGAGAGGGAUGCAGAAUUCCAGGUGUAGCGGUGAAAUGCGUAGAUAUCAGGAGGAACACCGGUGGCGAAGGCGGAUCUCUGGGCCAUUACUGACGCUGAGGAGCGAAAGCGUGGGGAGCGAACAGG